CGUACGUUAGCGGCGGACGGGUGAGUAACACGUGGGUAACCGUACAUAUAAGACUGGGAUAACUUCGGGAAACCGGAGCUAAUACCGGAUAAUAUUUCGAACCGCAUGGUUCGAUAGUGAAAGGUGGUUUUGCUAUCACUUAUAGAUGGACCCGCGCCGUAUUAGCUAGUUGGUAAGGUAACGGCUUACCAAGGCGACGAUACGUAGCCGACCUGAGAGGGUGAUCGGCCACACUGGAACUGAGACACGGUCCAGACUCCUACGGGAGGCAGCAGGC
rnacentral:rRNA from 1 species